rnacentral:rRNA from 1 species
AUGGCCGCAGCACCCUCCGCAUCCUGCCUCCUCGAGGAGCCUGUCCGACUGCUGCACAACGGGAAGGAUAAGGAGGUGGUGGUGCGGGAGGCGAGGGACUGGGCGGCGCUGCCGCGGGAUGUGUUGCUGGACGUGUUCAGCCGGCUGGACCACGUCGACAUCCUCACGGGGCCCGACAUUGUGUGCAGCCCAUGGCGCAGGGCUUCUGUGGACGAGCCGGACUUGUGGCGCUGCGUCGAUAUGCGCUUCCACUGCUACGCCUUCAACCACUCGGAAUACCUUGAGAUGGUGAGAGCUGCCAUGAGGCGUAGUGUGGGUCGGUGCGAGGCCUUCUGGGCAGAGGGCUACGUCACAGAAAGGAUUCUCUCCCUCCUUGCCGACGGCAGGGCGCCAUCAUUAAAGAGCCUUCGACUCAUCUAUUGCCGUGAUAUCGUAGACAUGGCCUUGAAGCCGUUGAUCACAAAGUUUUCCAUGCUUGAGGAGUUGGAAUUGUCAAACUGUCUGCAUAAAUUUCCUGACACACUUGAAGCUGUAGGAGCUGCAUGUCCCCUCCUGAAGCGCUUUAGACUGAGCCAAAUAUUCUUCUACAGUGAAUACCAAGAUGAUAGCGCAGCCAUGGCGAUCGCCAAGAUGCCAGAGCUGCGCUCGUUGCAGCUCACUGCUAAUUCGCUCACCAACAAUGGUUUGAAAGCCAUCCUUGAUGGUUGCCCGCACCUAGAGUCUCUCGACAUCCGCCAUUGUUACCAUGUUUGCAUGAACGGUGACAUGCAAGCAAAGUGUUCUCGGAUCAAGACUCUGAGGCAUCCUGAAGACUCCAUGGAUGAUUAUAACCUCUCAUUUAAUUACUAUACGACUCCAAACCAUGCAGGUCUACAUCAAUUGAAUUAA